rnacentral:lncRNA from 1 species
GCCCAGCUCAGUUCCUCAUUUUAUAAGUAAUGUUUAAGAGCAAUGACCCACUCCUACUUUCAGCAAAGAGGUGCACAUAGCAUAGACCCAUAGAAGAGGAAGGAUCUGAGAAGGAGUUUGAAAAAAGUGUAGGAGAGGCUGCGAGAAAACAAGGCAGGUGUCCUGGCUGAGGGCAGGAAGGAGACAUUGCGAUGGAAAUUGUGCCCCAUUUUCUUGGAGGAUUGGGAAGAGGACCUGUGGACUGGGCGGCCCACACAACUGCUGUAACCUCAGGCAGUUUUCAAGCAGAUUGACCUUCCUGCUGGAACACGGCACAUGAGGGUUGCUUGGCCUUGCCUCCACCAUGCCUGACACUGGCGCUCUGCUGGGAGGAAAAAGCUUGCUCUGUUGCUGGCUGUGUGGAACAGAGAGGGAAGUGGCAGACAGUCUGGGCCCAGCACUUGGGUAUCGUGCUCUAGCCAUGCGACUCAUCUCUCCAGUUCAGACCUGCCCCUGGAAAAAAGAGCCCAGACCUCAUCAUGAAUGCUUUCCUAGGAGAAAAUGAACAGCUGGACAAUGCUCCUGGUCAGUAGGCCUGAAGGAUGCUGGGAUGCAGCCCUCAAGAUGGAACAGCCAGGAUGCCAAGUAUCCCUCUUGCCCAGAUCCUAAGGCACUUUUUCUACUGAU